GCCACCCCCUCCUCGGUGCCAGUGGCCUAUAAGCCCCGCUUCCAACUGCCCUGCAGCGGGACGUCUGGCUUCUAGCUCCGCGGCCCCAGCACCGCCACGCCGGGAAUCCGGUAUCCAGCGCCCCAGGCCACUACCCCGGGUGGAGCCACCGCAUCCGUGCAUCAGGUACCCCCACCUUCCAGCUCCUCCGCCCCAACUCGCGGGGCUGCCGCCGUCCAGCUUCCUGCAGCAACGCACAAGAUCCCGCCUCAGCGCCCCCACCUGCAGCCCCAGGCCAAUGCAGACCGAUCCUCGAGCUACAGGAGUCCCAGCUUGUGCAGUUAGGACCGGAGCGCCCUCUAGUGAAACAACUAGUUUGAGAAGAGACCCAAAGAGAAGAUGGAAGUUAGGAAGGUGAGUUGAAGGGUCAUGUUGGGGGACGGCCUUAAACCCAAUGUAACAUCUUUUACAGUGAAAGUUCUAAUGAACUUUCCUGGCUUUGUACAAAUAGCUUUACGGGGUCCCGGCUUAUUUAUGUCUCAAUCGUUCCCUUAUCAAACAUGCUCAGUUUUCAAGUAAAUGAGUUGAGAGUGCUGUCCAGAGCGGUCACAAUGAAGCACUGUGGGAUAGCUCCCGGAGGCCAAUAACGUCGAAUUCCGUCCACACUACCCCAAUUCCGACCCCCUAAGGCCGAUUUUGUCGCUAAUCCCCUCAUCGGAGGUGGAGUAAAGAAACCGAUUUAAAGGGCCCUUUAAGUCGAAAGAAAGGGCUUCGUCGUGUGAACGUGUCCGAUGUCUAUCUAAAUGUCAGCCCAGCAAACUCAUCGGAAAAGCUGUCUCCUUUCCUGUUCAUUCAUUACCAUGAGCAAUAGGCUUGUGUUAUAACAGGAAUUAUAACUAAAACUAAGAGGUUGGCCUGUCCUAGUCACCUGACACGGGACUAGAAGGUUAGUACAUCUGUUUUAUGACAGAGUUCACUAUCCAGUGACUUCAGUUACACUGCAACUUACAAGGCAACCACAUUGUCCUUAAAUUAUGUUUUCAGUUAGACCUUGUACAACACUAUUACCAUUAGUGAGGUUGCACAGGUGUAACUAGGAUAUACGUUGAAGCCAAUCAGGUUACACAGGUGGCCCAAAAUUGGAAUUUAGUUAACAGUUCUGUUGAGUCAGGAACCAGAAAAAAGAUAUAGUUCACUGUCCCAGAACUAUGUUGGUUCUGAAGGGCUAACAAUAAAACGUGUUUUCACUCAAGUAAGCA
rnacentral:lncRNA from 1 species